CUGUCAUCUGUGUCCUGCAGGAACAUGGACACUGGGCAGGUCAGUUGUGACAGUGCAGAAAGGCUUAGGAGUUGGACCAUGCUAUGAACAAGCUGGCAAUUAGGAUGUGGGAAGGGGAACAGGAAGGAAGAGGAAUCAGAAGGGCCUGGUGGUAAGGUCAAAGAAACAUUCAACAAUAUAUUCAAAAGGAAUAUCCAGAAAAUCUUUGUCUCCUGCCCCUCAUGAAUUCCAUUCAGCUCCCCAGAUACCCUGGACGAAGUACGGCAUGUGGCCC
rnacentral:lncRNA from 1 species